GAUGAACGCUGGCGGCGUGCCUAAUACAUGCAAGUCGAGCGAACGGACGAGAAGCUUGCUUCUCUGAUGUUAGCGGCGGACGGGUGAGUAACACGUGGAUAACCUACCUAUAAGACUGGGAUAACUUCGGGAAACCGUAGCUAAUACCGGAUAAUAUUUUGAACCGCAUGGUUCAAAAGUGAAAGACGGUCUUGCUGUCACUUAUAGAUGGAUCCGCGCUGCAUUAGCUAGUUGGUAAGGUAACGGCUUACCAAGGCAACGAUGCAUAGCCGACCUGAGAGGAGGAUCGGACACACUGGAAGUGAGCCACGGUCAAGACGCCGACGGGAGGCAGCAGCAGGGAAUCGUGCGCAAUGGGCGAAAGCCUGACAGAGCAAUGACGCGUGAGUGAUGAAGGUCUUCGGAUCGUAAAACUCUGUGACUAGCGAAGAACAGAUGUGUAAGGAACAGUGCACAGCUGGACGGUACCUAAUAAGAAAGCCACGGCUAGCUACGUG
rnacentral:rRNA from 1 species